rnacentral:misc_RNA from 1 species
AGCCAAGUGUAGUACUCUUAAUAGUAUACAACCAGAUAUAUCAGGAAAUGUUGUUAAUUUGUUUGAUUGCAACAUCACUGUUUCUACCUUCCUUAAUUCACCCAGAGGUGGCAACAUUUCCAACUGAUUAUAACUUGCAUUUAACUUUUGUAAUGCUAUUUUCAAAAAAUAUGUGUGCUAUUUAUUAAAUUUUUAUGUCAUACAGGAAGAAGCAGUGUGAAACUGUUUUUCUUUUAAACUGAUAUUAUACAUUAAACAUAUGAUAAAAAAAAAUUAAAUUAAACAAAUCAUAUAAAUAGACACAUUAUUGUAAAUCAUACCUCUCAUAUUUGUUAAAUCAGGUGGCAAUUCCUUUAACAUAUUAUGACCUAAAUCCAAGGAAGUUAGUCGUACUAAAUAUCCCAUCCCAAUUGGUAACUCGAUCAAGUAGGUCAACAUUACAAAGUCUCCAACUGCUGGAUCAAGCUCCUUUAUACUAUUAUUUUUUAAAUUUAAUUCAUGUAAUUCAUUUAGCUUAUAAAAUUCAUGUGGAAAUUUUUCUAAUUUAUUAUUGGAUAAAUUUAGUAUGUUUAACUUUUUUAAAUUUCCUAUUUCAGCAGGCAAAUCUUCCAACUGAUUAUUGUGCAGCUGUAAAGAUUAAAAUUUAUUACAUAGUGUUUUACAUAUAUGCAAUUUCUUCAUAUAUAAAACUGUUAUAUUUACAUACAUUUAAUGUAGUUAACUCUGUUAAAUUUUCUAUUUGUGGAUCAAUUUUCUUUAAAGUAUUACAACUUAAGUCCAAUGUCUGGAGAGGUUCCUGUUCCCACCACCUUUCAGUUUCUUGUACAUAAUCAAGCUCGAAAUGUAAAUCCCUUAUUUCUUCUUCAGUUAAAUCAUUUAUAUUCCAUACUCUAUUAGGUACUAUAAUAGAUUUUGUUAGUUUUAACAUAAUUUAACUAAUAUGGAUUUCAAUUAAACAUAAAAUAUGACACUUAUAAAAAAAUAACUUACCUUGAUACGCAUAUGAUAAUCUGAUGAUGAUACUGUAAAUAUUGCUUGCUCUAUUGCAUUAUUCACAAUCUAACAUGCAAAGCUAUCUAUGAAUCGACAUAAACAAGUAGUUUCAUGGCUACAAUUGAAAUUGAAAAGGUAAUAUAUAUAACAUUUAUUUAAUGAUUCAGAUUUCAUGCUUUACAUAUAUAAAUGGGUGCAAAAAUAAAAAAAAGUCCAAAAAUGUAAUGAAUAACUUUUAUUGUUUAUCAGUAACGAAAUUAAAAAAUGAAUUGCAACUAAAAAGCAUUAAGCUGAUAAGUAUACGUUUAUCGCUGACGUAAUAUUUUCUUUAUGAUAUAUAUAUUGAAUAAAAUACAUAAUAUUUUUGUAAGAUAAUGAUAUUUUGUACAUGUAACAAAUGUAUAAUUCAUUUCCUAUCACAAUAAAUAAAAAAACAAUAUAUAAAUUAUAAAUUAUAGAAACUAUAAUGUAAUACAGAUGUGUGAACAAACAUGCACAUUAUAGUAUAUGACUACUGCAUCGAGAUAUCAAGCGUCUGAAUGAUAUCGAAUAACAUUUAUAUAUGUAAUUUUUAAGUAAUGUGGAUACCCGUAAAUAGUCCUCUCGAUGAGAGGUUUAAGUUUCCACUCUUUCUCGCGGAUAUAAUAAUAAUUUCAGACAGUUCAGCAUUAUCGUCAUUCUUCGUUCGUUUUUUAAACACUGCUAAAUGAUUAGCUUUCUUCUUUACGCCACUCAUAUUGUAUUUAUCACGUACAUUGUUUACGCAUUGAUAUCCUCGAUACGGGAUGACUUAAUCAUGAAUGUUCCCCCACUUUGUAUGACAACGACAUGUAAAU